rnacentral:piRNA from 1 species
UCCCAAACUUUGCCUGUUCCCCUGGAGGUC